rnacentral:lncRNA from 1 species
UCUGCCUCCACGAGCAUAGGGGCUGCCGGAUUCACCGCCGUGCACUCGGGGGUGGGCAGAACUGCUGCCUUGCGCCCACCCCUUGGUGGUGGACGGAUACGCCGCCGCAAGCUUGGGGGUUGGUGGAUCCGCCAUCGCAAGCACAGGGAUGGCCCGCUCGACGAAGGCAACAUCGGCAAAGGUGGCAUUCUACAUUUCUAUGUUGAUUUUGUGAUCAUGUUCUUGGGUGAUGAGCAUGACGGUGAUCUCAGUGAAUCACAUGGACAAAACAGAUUUGGUGGCCAAGAGCUUACCACCACUGAUAAAUCGAACCUUUCCAUGCCAUUGGGAGGAGGAGGGAAGGCUGAUGAGGAUAUGGUGUAG